GGCACGGGGGCUCUCAGUCUAACGAUCGGGAAAAUGACGCAGCUCCAGGCCGAUCCCAGAGCCUUCAGCUCCGUUCGUACAUUUGUGCAACUCUUGGCGGCGAACGGGAAAGCUGCACCGGCAGGUACUUUAGGGCUGGGCACGAUGUGGAGAUUUAACAAGGAUCCUGAAGCUGGAGGCACACAAUGACUGCCACUGAAGAGGAGCUGCCUGUGCAGCAUCCCCUUGACAUCUGCCUCAUUUCAAUAAUUUCCAGCCAUUGAACCUCUGUCUGAAUGAGCAUUAAGGAAACAGAGGCAUGUUUGGAUACUAAUUUGAGCCUCUCUCGGGUUUGGGUUUUAUGCUGAUGCCUGUGGCUCAGUUGACGGUGUUGAUGUCUGCGGCUUUCCGUCCGUAAGACCGGACACAUCCCCACCGAGUCUAUCAAGGAGACGGAAAGCCCUGGUGUGUGUCCCCCUCUCCCUACUGUGGACGGUUAGCAUCCGUUGAGCGGUGCAGACGCCUCGACCGUGAAAAGCUGAGCGGAGACCGAGAGCCUCGUUUCAUAUGAGGCUGGGUAAAGGUCAUCUGAAGUCCUUCCCCGGUGAUCUAAUGCCCUUCGGUUGUGACCACCCCGGAUUUGAAACCGUGACCUACUGCUUUGCCCCACGCAACAGACGAGUGCUCUGAAACGGACUUGCCAUAAGACAUCAUGGGCCGCUCUAAGUUGUCCGGGAGGACAGGCAUGUGUCCUGCAGCGUGGUCGGUCCAUUCAGAAGAAUCUUGAAUGUUCACAUGUCUCGUGACUUACGAAUGCAUAUUCACCGACGUCAGAGAUCGGGACGUGUGCUUCCUGAGCUUAUUACUGUAACAAGUUUCUGCCAUGCUACUGGGCAGAUUCUCCGUGUCUCCUCGUCCAGACUACUGACUCAGUUUAAGAUUACAUCCUUUUCUCCUUUGCUUUUAUUGCAUUUGCCCUGUAAAACUCAUUCCCUUCGCCUCAUAGGACACCUAGAGACACCAGGGGCAUUCCAAGACUGGGCAUGAGGUGCAGGAGGCCUAACCGCCAGGGAUGGACUUUCUGGGCAUCUUUACCUCUUACAUGGAGAGGUCUCAGGGCCUCUCAGUGUGGCAUCUCUUUAUCUGGCUAGUUGAGCUUCCUCACAGCAUGGCUGCCUUGGGACAAGAAGAUGACUCAUGAGAACUGAAAGCUUCAAGACUCAGCAUUCCAACAGAAAGGCAGAAGCUAUGAAGACUUUUCCAACCGAAACACCGGAGUCACACAGCACCAUUUCCACGGCAUUCUCUUAUUUACAAGUGAAUCCCAAGCAUAUCCAGAUUCUGGGAGAGGGGAAUAAGACACUACUUCCUAUUGGGAGUGUGGCACAGUUCUAGAAGAGCAUUGGGUAAUGGCUAUACUUGGAUAGUAUAAUCUACCACAGAGAGUGCUGCCCAAGCAUUGUUUGUGAAACAAGUAA